rnacentral:snoRNA from 12 species
UGGUCAUAUACCAAGGCUUUCAGGAUUCUGUUCCUGAUUUGCUGUGGAGUUGACCAGAAAACAAAAACCAUCCCAGUGGGCUUCUGCAAGAAUCUACUUAGAAGACCUGCUGGGAACAUUA